UUGGGGGAUACUUACCUAAACAGAAUGAAAACUGAACAAGGAAAGUGCAUGGAUUCAGCACACUGCCUUGUCAUACUGUUCUUCCAAGAUCUCCUUGACUUUUUUUUUAUUUUUUUUUUUAUAUCCUUCACAGAAGCUGAAGUUGAGCAUCUUUGAGUGACAUUUUCUGUCCUUUUACGAGACGACUUCUCAUAGAGUCGUGGCAGAUUGUAUGCAUGGACUACAGAGUAAACACAAAUAUGCUACAUCUUGAUGUCCCUUCCUCUCACCCAUGUGAUUCACUAAGGCCAAGGAGCUACAGUGUGCAUCGAUGAUGGAAACAAAAACAAGGAGAUAUCAAUUUUGUUCUUCACAUUUAUCAAUUGUUGGAAUGGGGGAUAUGCAUCUUUUAAUUUUUCAUGGACAUUGAAGAUAAGGGCAGUGGUCUUGCUGGUACUUGAUUUUCACAAGGACUAACCCAUUUGACUGCUUUGUGCAGUUUUCAGUUGUCAGAUCUUUUUGGUGUUUUUUUUUUUCCAGGAAGCAGAUAGAGGUUGGACAGUGGACUUCUUUUGCCUCUUAACUGCAGAGGAGUUGUCUCUAUAGAAGGCCAGGGUGAUAAUUUCAAACCAACUUCAGGCAGAAUACUAUCAGUUUUAGUUGAGGAAAUUGGAGAGGGGACUUUCUCCAAAAUUGAAGGGAAAACGUUCUUUCCUUCCACUCGUCUUUUUUUCCAUCAACUGAAUUUAUUUUGGCGCUCUUCUGACAUGGAACUGUAGGCAUGGUUUUGGUUUUGAAUAAAAUACGUAGAGAUAUAUUUUACCACAGAAGACGCCCCUGCUUAGAAUGAAGGAACCAUGCUAAGGAGUAAUUCUAAGCUACCAUGAAUGAACGAAUAUGGCUUUACAUUGGUCAUUGGACAAACAAAAAUAACUGUUUGAGUUGCUGUGGCUGUGAUGCUUUGCAGAUUUUUCUUUUUUUUUUCUUUUGAAUGUUUUGGAGAAAGUUUUGGGUUGUGGACAAUUACUAGAAACCCAUUUCUCCCUAUUUACUUUAAUUAACAUCUGUUAUAAAUGGACAGUUACCCAGUGAAAUCUGCCUCUGCUCAUUCCUGAGGAGGAUGGAGAAAGUGUUAAAUUCUGGAAAAUGAGAAAAAACCAGAAGAUGCCAAUCCCCUUAAAGGCCACAGAGAGGACAGCUGGUACUGAUGGACUCACCGCCUCACUCACUGGAGGAUCUGAUUGGCUAGCGUGCGGUUCACCUAACCAAUGGGAUGCACGAUAUAAGGAGAAUAUGGAUAUCAGCUGUGUUGAACAAGAGUUGGACUAAUUGGAUUCAGAGUUCACGGUUUUGGAGCAUUGUGUUGUGGUCAGAUCCUUCAAAGUGAAUGUGGACCAUUUUACAAACUGAACCUUUAGUGACUGUUGUGAUACAUUGAGACUCUCUCACACACACACACACACACACACACGCGCACACAAGCACACACACAGAAGCACAUACACUGACAACAUCAUACACACUUACAAAGACCUGCUUAGGAGUCUUGAACUUGGCACAGGAUGCCCUGUAUAUAAUGUUUAUGCUUUUGUCUUCAUUGGCGACUUGGGUUUUGUUCUUUUUUUUUUUUUUUUUACAUGCCUUAAAUACACAAAAUAGAACUGCCAUAGAGAUGGUUGGGUUUCCAACACAGACUCACAUGUACAAAAACACUUUGGAAAUGGAAAUGCAAAUACCUAGACACCCAAGCUUACCAACGGGAAAUGUGAGGAUAUUGUAUGUCCAUGAUCUGGUCCCUCUGUGAUUGGGUGAACAAGAAUUGGUCUAUCAUAGUAGAGAUGGACUGUCAUUUCCCCAUAAAUGAGUCGAUGGAAAAUAUUCAGAGCUGCUGGGGGGGAAAUAAUGCCACAAUAUUGUGCUUGUGCAGUCGGAAUGUCACUGAAUUCUUUUUAAUUCUCUUUUUUGUGAAAUAUAUUAAUUAUUAACGUUGGCAUUUAUAUACUAAAGAAAAAAUAAAGACCACUACUGGAUGGGUCUCCCUCCUUUAGUCAAGAGUCCAUUAAAUUCCAUUUGUAAAUGAACAUGGUGAGAACUAAGACAAGGGCAUAGGUUUUUUUUUUUUUUUUUUCUUUGAAAAGAUACAAAAUGUUAAACAUAAAUAAACAUUGUUUUAAACGUU